AUAAGGACAAUGCGGAAUGGCAAGAUUUAAUUAUACUCAAGUAAUUAUAUUCAAAACGUGCUCAUGCAGACGUUACCGUUGAUGUCGCUUUAAGAAAAUUUCCCUCGCUUGGCUUGAGUCGUUCAGUUUAGGCGAUUGAUGCGGACGUGCUCUGACAGAACCUCGCACGGUUUUCAACGCGGAGUCUGUUUUGGAGUUAAUAUUUCUCAGCCUGCUAAAAAUGCUUGCGUCAGACUGGCUGGUGUAAGUUAACGUUCGUUGGCCUGCAGGAUGGAGCUGACUAGAAUGUCUACAGCUAAAUUAAUAAAGGAGUUAAUACAAUUUGGUAUCGAAGUCACUGAAGAGGAGAGGAAAAAGUUUGAAGACAAUGAUGUGGAUGGAGAGACUGUUGACAUCGGACUGACUGAGUCAAUGAUUUCAUUCCUCUUUGAGGGAUCAUUUAAAAAAACAAGCAAAAUUUCAUCGAAAUGAUGAAAGAUUGAUGAAGGAGAUGAAGGAGACAGUGACAUUAACUCUUGAACCUGUGCCUGUAGAAAGCCAGUCAAGAGCUGGAGCAAGUAAUAUCAGCCCAUCAACAGCUUUCCCUGCAUUUUUUUGAAGUUCCGAAGUAAAUUUGAGCGGACACCUUUGGCUGAAGUUGAAGAAGUGAAAAGACUUAAACAGAAGUUUGGUCAUUCAAAAAAGUCUCUGCAACCUGAAGAAAGCAGUUGCAAAGAAAUUACAAGGCCUUUGGAGAUUAAUGCUGUUGGAGAGGAUGCUACAUCAAUAGAGGGACAUGUGAAAGUCCUGCAGGACAA